UGACCGUGCGAAGGUAGCAUAAUCAAUAGUCUCUUAAUUGGGGGCUUGAAUGAAAGGCUGAACGAGAAAUAAACUGUCUCUUAAUAAAAAUCUUGAAUCUUACUUUUAAGUGAAAAGGCUUAAAUAAACUUAAGGGACGAUAAGACCCUAUAAAUCUUUAUAUCAAUUCUUUUUAAUUUAUAUUAUAAGUAUACAAAAAUAAAAAAGAAACAUAUUAUAUUGGGGCGAUAAAGAUAUAAUCACUAACUGUCUUACAUCUAUAACAAUAAUAUUUGAUAACCUUAAGAUCCUUAUUAAAGAAUACAAGAUCAAGUUACUUUAGGGAUAACAGCGUUAUUUUCUUUGAGAGUCCAUAUCGAAAAGAAAGCUUGCGACCUCGAUGUUGAAUUAAAAUUCCCUUAUGGCGCAGAAGUUAUAAAAGGAAGUCUGUUCGACUUUUAAAAUUUUACAU
rnacentral:rRNA from 1 species